UGAGGAAUAUUGGUCAAUGGUCGCUAGACUGAACCAGCCAAGUAGCUUGCGGGAUGAAGGCCCUCCGGGUCGUAAACCGCUUUUAGACGGGGAUAAAAGGGGCGUACGUGUACGCCGUAUUGCAUGUACCGUCAGAAAAAGGACCGGCUAAUUCCGUGCCAGCAGCCGCGGUAAUACGGAAGGUCCGGGCGUUAUCCGGAUUUAUUGGGUUUAAAUGGGAGCGUAGGCGGACUUUCAAGUCAGUGGUAAAAUCGUGUGGCUCAACCAUACCUCGCCAUUGAAACUGGAAGUCUGGAGUGCACACAGGGGUGCCGGAAUUCAUGGUGUAGCGGUGAAAUGCUUAGAUAUCAUGAAGAACUCCGAUCGCGAAGGCAAGUGCCCGGGGUGCAACUGACGCUGAGGCUCGAAGGUGCGGGUAUCGAACAGGAUUAGAUACC
rnacentral:rRNA from 1 species